AUUGAACGCUGGCGGCAUGCCUUACACAUGCAAGUCGAACGGCAGCACGGGUUCUUGCACCUGGUGGCGAGUUGCGAACGGGUGAGUAAUACAUCGGAACAUGUCCACUAGUGGGGGAUAGCCCUGCGAAAGCCGGAUGAAUACCGCAUACGAUCUACGGGUGAAAGCGUGGGCCCGUCGUGCCUCGCCCUGUAGGUUGGGCCGAUGGCUGAUUAGCUGGUUGGUGGGGUAAAGGCCUACCAAGGCGACGAUCAGUAUCUGGUCUGAGAGGACGACCAGCCACACUGGGACUGAGACACGGCCCAGACUCCUACGGGAGGCAGCAGUGGGGAAUUUUGGACGAUGGGCGAAAGCCUGAUCCAGCAAUGACGCGUGUGUGAAGAAGGCCUUCGGGUUGUAAAGCACUUUUGUCCGGAAAGAAAUCCUUGGCCCUAAUACGGUCGGGGGAUGACGGUACCGGAAGAAUAAGCACCGGCUAACUACGUG
rnacentral:rRNA from 1 species